CAAAUACUCCCUCCGUCCAGAAAUACUUGUCAUCAAAAUGGAUAAAAGGAAAUGUAUCUAGACAUAUUUUAGUUUUAGAUACAUCUAUUUUUAUCCAUUUUGAUGACAAGUAUUUUCAGACGGAGGGAGUAGAAA
rnacentral:pre_miRNA from 1 species